rnacentral:rRNA from 1 species
UACAGAGGGUGCAAGCGUUAAUCGGAAUUACUGGGCGUAAAGAGCUCGUAGGUGGUUUGUCGCGUUGUUCGUGAAAACUCACAGCUUAACUGUGGGCGUGCGGGCGAUACGGGCAGACUAGAGUACUGCAGGGGAGACUGGAAUUCCUGGUGUAGCGGUGGAAUGCGCAGAUAUCAGGAGGAACAUCGGUGGCGAAGGCGGGUCUCUGGGCAGUAACUGACGCUGAGGAGCGAAAGCGUGGGGAGCGAACAGG